CUUUGUUGUAAUGGUGUCGAACGAUAUAUAUCACUUCCUUGUAAGAAUAUGUCCUGUAAAUCUUCGUAUAUAUCUGUAUAAAGUGAUUUAUUUUAUGGUAUGUGCCUCAAAGUCAAGUAAAAAAAUAUAUAUUUAUUGUAUUGAUAGUAUUUUCCCGAUUCACUAUUGCAGAAGUCUGAAUAGUGAAAUCGACGGACAAGCGGGAUGGCAUCAGGGGUCCAGGCAGUUUGCUUGAAACAUAACAAACAGUGGAGGAAUAGGUUCCAAGAGUUUUUAAACAAAACCAGUGGACCAACCAGAAGAAAUCCAUUAAUUUGUCAAAGUGAUGUUAAAAGAAUUACAAAAGCAGUGUGCACAUGCACAGAGGCUGUCAACAAAG
rnacentral:lncRNA from 1 species